rnacentral:rRNA from 1 species
GAAGUAAAAGUCGUAACAAGGUUUCNGUAGGUGANCNUGCGGAAGGAUCAUUACCGAUUCUAAUACCUCAAUCACUGUGCACUCGGUCGCUGUACGCAACUCCUUUCGGGGUGAGAGUCUGUCUGUCUGACUCUCUUAAAUCGGUCUGGCGCGCGCGAGCGCGUGUUUCCGAGCCCCGACUGGAGACCUGUGUGCAGCGGUUUUUCACCGCUUCGCUUCGUGCGAGGCGUUCUUGAAACCCUUUUUCAACCUUGCAAUCUUGCAGACUGUACUGUCGGGCUUUCUAACGAAAGCUUGUACUUGAUUUUGAAAUCAUGGACAACUUUCAACGGUGGAUCUCUUGGCUCGUGGAUCGAUGAAGAACGCAGCAAAACGCGAUAUGUAGUGUGAAUUGCAGAAUUCAGUGAAUCAUCGAAUCUUUGAACGCAAAUGGCGCCCCUGGGUAUUCCCAGGAGCAUGUCUGUCUCAGUGUCGUUUUCACCUCGAGCACGCUUCGGCGUGGUGGUCAUGAGGCGUCUGAGAAGCCCUGGUUGCUCUCAGUCCCUUGAAAUAGAGUGGCCGGACAGUAGUGUGCUUUUCGGGUCGGUUCGUCUCGAAUUAAGCUCGCACGGCUGAUGGUGAGAUUCCUCGUAAUCUCCCUUGUCGUGUCGCAGCGAUCGGGUGGAGCCUGACUCGGAUGUAUAGCCCUGUGUCCGAAUCAAGCCAGUUCUGGAAAACAACGCUUAUUCUUUCAGUCGAAGGAGUAAACAUCUUCGACCUGAGAUCAGGCAAGACUACCCGCUGAAUUUAAGCA